rnacentral:rRNA from 1 species
CCCGCUGAACUUAAGCAUAUCAAUAAGCGGAGGAAAAGAAACUAACAAGGAUUCCCUUAGUAACUGCGAGUGAAGUGGGAAAAGCUCAAAUUUAGAAUCUGGCAGUCACUUGGCUGUCCGAGUUGUAAUCUAGAGAAGUGUUGCCCGUGCUGGACCAUGUACAAGUCUCCUGGAAUGGAGCAUCACAGAGGGUGAGAAUCCUGUCUUUGACAUGGACUGCCAGUGCUUUUGUGGUAUGCUCUCAAAGAGUCGAGUUGUUUGGGAAUGCAGCUCAAAAUGGGUGGUAAAUGCCAUCUAAAGCUAAAUAUUGGCGAGAGACCGAUAGUGAACAAGUACCGUGAGGGAAAGAUGAAAAGAGCUUUGGAAAGAGAGUUAAACAGUACGUGAAAUUGCUGUAAGGGAAACGCUUGAAGUCAGUCACGUUGACUUGGAAUCAGCUCUGCUUUUGCUGGGUGUACUUUCUUGUCAAUGGGUCAGCAUCAAUUUUGACCAUUGGAUAAAGUUGCUGGGAAUGUAGCAUUCUUUUGGAUGUGUUAUAGCCUGGUGAUGCAUACAGUGGUUGGGAUUGAGGAAUUCAGCACGCCACCAGGCCGGGUUUUGACCACGUUCGUGCUUAGGAUGCUGGCAUAAUGGCUUUAAUUGACCCGUCUUGAAACACGG